rnacentral:rRNA from 1 species
AAAUUGAAGAGUUUGAUCAUGGCUCAGAUUGAACGCUGGCGGCAGGCCUAACACAUGCAAGUCGGACGGUAGCACAGGGGAGCUUGCUCCUUGGGUGACGAGUGGCGGACGGGUGAGUAAUGUCUGGGAAACUGCCCGGUGGAGGGGGAUAACUACUGGAAACGGUAGCUAAUACCGCAUAACGUCUUCGGACCAAAGUGGGGGAUCUUCGGACCUCACGCCACCGGAUGUGCCCAGAUGGGAUUAGCUAGUAGGUGGGGUAACGGCUCACCUAGGCGACGAUCCCUAGCUGGUCUGAGAGGAUGACCAGCCACACUGGAACUGAGACACGGUCCAGACU